CCUACGGGAGGCAGCAGUGGGGAAUUUUGGACAAUGGGCGCAAGCCUGAUCCAGCAAUGCCGCGUGAGUGAAGAAGGCCUUCGGGUUGUAAAGCUCUUUUGUCAGGGAAGAAACGGUGAAGGCUAAUAUCCUUUGCUAAUGACGGUACCUGAAGAAUAAGCACCGGCUAACUACGUGCCAGCAGCCGCGGUAAUACGUAGGGUGCAAGCGUUAAUCGGAAUUACUGGGCGUAAAGCGUGCGCAGGCGGUUUUGUAAGUUUGUCGUGAAAUCCCCGGGCUCAACCUGGGAAUGGCGAUGAAGACUGCAAGGCUAGAAUCUGGCAGAGGGGGGUAGAAUUCCACGUGUAGCAGUGAAAUGCGUAGAGAUGUGGAGGAACACCGAUGGCGAAGGCAGCCCCCUGGGCCAAGAUUGACGCUCAUGCACGAAAGCGUGGGGAGCAAACAGGAUUAGAUACCCUGGUAGUCCACGCCCUAAACGAUGUAUACUAGUUGUCGGGUUUUAAUUAACUUGGUAACGCAGCUAACGCGUGAAGUAGACCGCCUGGGGAUACGGUCGCAAGNUUAAAACNCAAAUGAAAUUGACCGGNGNGAGAGAGCGAGACGACGACGAGGGAGGAGG
rnacentral:rRNA from 1 species